AUAUAUGUGACUCUUCGGAGUUUGCAUUGUUAAANAUGCUAGUCCUUUCAUGAUUAUGUGAUAGGUGGUGCAUGGCCGUUCUUAGUUCGUGGAGUGAUCUGUCUGCUUAAUUGCGUUUCAAAUUACUUAUAAGGUAGCAAUACGCGAUGAAGCUUUCAAUAGUCCUCACGGAUUCACUUGAGUCUCUCGCUUCGCUAUCCUUUCGAAUGCAACGAACGUGACCGCAACCUCUUGUUGCCUUCGUUUAACAUCCUGCAGCUCGCUGUGGGUACUGAGGGCUUCACUCGGUGACUUUGGGCUGAGCAAUCGGUCUCUUUUGAUCU
rnacentral:rRNA from 1 species